AGCAGCCGCGGUAAUUCCAGCUCCAAUAGCGUAUAUUAAAGUUGUUGCAGUUAAAAAGCUCGUAGUUGAAUUUCGGGGUUAGCAGGUCGGUCGUGCCAUUGGUAUGAACUGGUCUCGCUGAUCCCUCCCUCUUGACGAACUGUGAUGCCAUUAAUUUGGUGUCGCAGGGAAUCAGGACUGUUACUUUGAAAAAUUAGAGUGUUUAAAGCAGGCUCACGCUUGAAUACAUUAGCAUGGAAUAAUGAAAUAGGACGUUUGAUCCUAUUUUGUUGGCUUCUAGGAUUGACGUAAUGAUUAAUAGGGAUAGUUGGGGGCAUUAGUAUUCAAUUGUCAGAGGUGAAAUUCUUGGAUUUAUUGAAGACUAACUACUGCGAAAGCAUUUGCCAAGGAUGUUUUCAUUAAUCAAGAACGAAAGUUAGGGGAUCGAAGACGAUCAGAUACCGUCGUAGUCUUAACCAUAAACUAUGCCGACUAGGGAUCGGAUGAUGUUAAUUUUUAAUGACUCU
rnacentral:misc_RNA from 1 species